rnacentral:rRNA from 1 species
UACGUAGGGGUCGAGCGUUGUCCGGACUUACUGGGCGUAAAGCGUGGGUAGGCGGGUGCUGAUGUGCCGUGUGAAAGCGCCGCGCUUCUCGCGGCGAGGUCGCGGUAGACACAGCACCUAGAGGCACGGAGAGGGGCGUAGAAUUCCCGGUGUAGUGGUGAAAUGCGUAGAUAUCGGGAGGAAUACCAGUGGCGCAAGCGGCGCCCUGGCCGUGACCUGACACUGAGCCACGACGGCGUGGGGAGCAAACGGG